CCCAUCAUGAGGACGCAGCUUCUUCCUCUUUCAAGGCGGCUCCAUUUAUCUUCCUUUCAGGGGACUUGGGGCCUGCAUUUUUCUCCUCUCUUUUGUACAGGAAUCUUAAUACUUACGCCCAGGCUGUGACCUCUGACCUAAAACAUCUAGGGUUACCAGGAUCAAGUUCAAGGUCCCCAGCACAGUGCACAUGGCUUUUCAAGACCUGACUCCAUCCACCUUUCCAAACGCAUCUCUCCAUUCACAAACUUUGGAUUCAGACUGAAUGAUACCACUGGCUUUCGUAGUUCUCCAGCUUGCACACAUGGGACAUGGCCUCCAUAAGUGCGUGAACCAAU